CACCCAGUUAAUUAUAAAUACUUAUAAAGCUCUGUAAAUGUAUAUGGCACUUUACAAACAUAGAAAAAGACAUGGUCCCUGCCCCAAAGAAUGUACAGUAGGAUGCCUACAAGACUAAACACAGAGCAGUAGUUCAGGAGGUGGAAAGAAGGAGAUGGAAGAGUACAGAAAGUCACUAGCAAUUUGUAGGAAAGGUCAGUGUCACCUUCUGCCGGCUGCAUGAGGCAGCCGAUUCCCUAUCUACACAUCCCAUCACUGGGGCAUGCAGCCACUAAAAAAAUCCAUGACCAAAGGACAUACAGGCCUUGGCUUGAAGUCAAACUGGCCUUACAGAGGAACACAUUACUUCAGGUGACUGUUUUAAAGACCAGGGAAGAGGAUCAGCUCUGCCCCGAGUCCUGUCUUCAGAUGAAGACGGUUGAGAGGAACUCAGGGGGGUGCGGGACGCGUGCGCUUUGGCAGACUCUAACAAGACAACAGCUGAGCAUGUGUGUCCUGACCAGGCACUGCUACUGAAGAUCUCCGAUCAACGGCGCCGGGACGUACCAUCACCUGGAGUGGAGCACCUACCAGGACAGCACUCAAAGAAGAAUAAAAAGUUCACGUUAAAGGAGUUUUGUUGCAUGAUUUUACCCACAUUUUUGCAACAUUAAGGAUUGAGGUUUUGCAUGCCCCUGCAUUUACAUGGAUGUAUAUUGAGAGAUGGGGCUUGUUUUUUUUAAUUCCUCUUAUAGCUGUAGAAAUAGGGCAAGAAUUAUUUGAAGAGGAAAAGGAAGUUAUCUUAAUACAGCUACCACAAACAAGCAGAGGUAAUCUGGAAAGUCUAGAAAACUUUAUAUACCUACAUGCCCACGUUGAGUCCUUGUAAAACCAAACCACAAUAGUUACAGGUUUGCCAGAAUGAAAACAUAGCUGUUCACGUCACUAUGAUUUUUACUGAAUAAGCCAACCGUGAAAAGAAAAACUCCACCAGAAUGCUGGCAUAGUAAACUUUUAAACACUUAAUAAUGAAUCUAAGUAACAGACAUGAUUUUAUAUGGGUCUUGGUUUGUUUCUCUGGCCAGAACCACCAGAAAAAGCACAAAAACUGGAAAAAAGAUCAGAAGAGAAUGACCACUGCUUUUACCACCUUCAGAAUGAAACAUAGGCCCUGAACAACCACAAGAAAGAAACACCCCCACCACCUAUACCACACCUCUUCCUUGUGGACAGCAUACUGUUGGGCUGAUAGCUUGCAUUUUAGAGAGUCAAGAUGGAUGAGGUGAAAUCUUUUAUUGGACCAACUUCUGUUGGUGAGAAAGACAAGAUUUUGGGCUAAACAGAGCUCUUCAGGUCUG